rnacentral:lncRNA from 1 species
UAGAAUCACAAAUAGAAAAAUUAUAAGGUGUUAUCAUAUAAAUAUCUUGUGAAGCAACCACUUGCCUCUUUCUCUUGUUCUUAGGCCUGUUUAGAUCAAGGGUGGCUAUAUAAGUAGGAUAAUUCCUUUUUCAAUGAUCCAACUUCUUACAGAAGAAGCACUCUACCUGGCUGUUGUCAACUUUUGAUGGUUUACUCUGCUUGAGAUUGGUGGCAUGAGAUUUUUGCAUAUUUUUCUUCUUUUCUCUCCUAGA